rnacentral:rRNA from 1 species
CCUACGGGGGGCAGCAGUGGGGAAUAUUGCGCAAUGGGGGAAACCCUGACGCAGCAACGCCGCGUGAAGGAUGAAGGCUCUCGGGUUGUAAACUUCUUUGAUGGGGGACGAAUCAAUGACGGUACCCCAAAAACAAGCCACGGCUAACUACGUGCCAGCAGCCGCGGUAAUACGUAGGUGGCGAGCGUUGUCCGGAAUUACUGGGUGUAAAGGGCGUGUAGGCGGGAAUGCAAGUCAGAUGUGAAAUUCCGGGGCUCAACCUCGGCGCUGCAUCUGAAACUGUGUUUCUUGAGUGCUGGAGAGGAAAGCGGAAUUCCCGGUGUAGCGGUGAAAUGCGUAGAGAUCGGGAGGAACACCAGUGGCGAAGGCGGCUUUCUGGACAGUAACUGACGCUGAGGCGCGAAAGCGUGGGGAGCAAACAGGAUUAGAUACCCUUGUAGUC